rnacentral:snoRNA from 1 species
CCCUUCUGCAAUAACAGAAGUCUGCUAUAAUUGUGUGAUUCAGAUUUGAUCUGUUUCAUGCAAUAAUGCUAGCAGACUAUUACGUGGAAGGAUAUCAUUAAGCACUGUACUGAAAAUGAGAUGUUGUCGAACCUCUUUCUUAAUGUUCAUUGGCCUCUGUCUCAAGGUGCAGUGCCACACCU